rnacentral:lncRNA from 13 species
AUGACUAGAAACGAUUCGGUUGGCCGUUUUAUGUGUGGAUUAAUUGUUGGAGUAGAGGUCCUUGUGUAUUUCAGGAAGACAUCCGGCCAGAGACCCCAGUCCACCGGCCAGAGACCCCAGCAGUCCACCGGCCAGAGACCCCAGCAGUCUACCGGCCAGGGACCCCAGUCUACCACAGUCCACCGGCCAGGGACCCCAGUCUACCACAGUCCACUGGCCAGAGACCACAGUCCACCGGCCAGAGACCACAGUCCACCGUCCAGAGACCCCAGUCUACCACAGUCCACCGGCCAGAGACCCCAGUCCACCAGCCAGAGACCCCAGUCUACCGGCCAGAGACCCCAAGAGUCUACCGGCCAGGGAACCCAGCAGUCUACCGGCCAGGGAACCCAGCAGUCUACCGGCCAGGGAACCCAGCAGUCUACCGGCCAGGGAACCCAGCAGUCUACCGGCCAGGGACCCCAUAAUACAGGAAAUGACCACGACACAGGUAAAGGGAUGAGUGGUACAGACCUGCAGUGUUUUUCCCAGGCCCAUACAGUGA